rnacentral:rRNA from 1 species
AUUGAACGCUGGCGGCAUGCCUUACACAUGCAAGUCGAACGGCAGCAUGAUCUAGCUUGCUAGAUUGAUGGCGAGUGGCGAACGGGUGAGUAAUACAUCGGAACGUGCCCUGUAGUGGGGGAUAACUAGUCGAAAGAUUAGCUAAUACCGCAUACGACCUGAGGGUGAAAGUGGGGGACCGCAAGGCCUCAUGCUAUAGGAGCGGCUGAUGUCUGAUUAGCUAGUUGGUGAGGUAAAGGCUCACCAAGGCGACGAUCAGUAGCUGGUCUGAGAGGACGAUCAGCCACACUGGACUGAGACACGGCCCAGACUCCUACGGGAGGCAGCAGUGGGGAAUUUUGGACAAUGGGGGCAACCCUGAUCCAGCAAUGCCGCGUGUGUGAAGAAGGCCUUCGGGUUGUAAAGCACUUUUGUCCGGAAAGAAAUCGCACUUACUAAUAUUAGGUGUGGAUGACGGUACCGGAAGAAUAAGGACCGGCUAACUACGUGCCAGCCGCCGCAGUAACAC